ACAAUCAUAUUAGGUUGAAACACUGGUUCCCAUACAAUCACUGAAGUUAAGCAACAUUGAUCCUGGUCAGUACCUAAAUGAGUGACCGCUUGAGAACACUAG